rnacentral:rRNA from 1 species
AUUGAACGCUAGCGGGAUGCCUUACACAUGCAAGUCGAACGGCAGCGCGGACUUCGGUCUGGCGGCGAGUGGCGAACGGGUGAGUAAUGUAUCGGAACGUGCCCAGUAGCGGGGGACAACCACUCGAAAGAGUGGCUAAUACCGCAUACGCCCUACGGGGAAAGGGGGGGAUCGCAAGACCUCUCACUAUUGGAGCGGCCGAUAUCGGAUUAGCUAGUUGGUGGGGUAAAGGCCUACCAAGGCGACGAUCCGUAGCUGGUUUGAGAGGACGACCAGCCACACUGGGACUGAGACACGGCCCAGACUCCUACGGGAGGCAGCAGUGGGGAAUUUUGGACAAUGGGGGAAACCCUGAUCCAGCCAUUCCGCGUGUGCGAUGAAGGCCUCGGUUGUAAGCACUUUGGUCAGGAAGAAAUACGUGUGGGUUAAUACCCUGCGCGGAUGACGGUACCUGCAGAAUAAGACACCGGCUAACUACGUGCCAGCAGCCGCGGUAA